UUCCCCGGGGAAGGCUGACCCCUUCUCGUGCCCGCCAAAGGCCUCAAUAAACCCUGUGAUCAGUGUCGUCCGAGUAAAAACAAUCGUUAAAACUUUCAACAACGGAUCUCUUGGUUCCGGCGUCGAUGAAGAACGCAGCGAAAUGCGAAAAGUAAUGUGAAUUGCAGAAUUCCGCGAAUCAUCGAAUCUUUGAACGCACAUUGCGCCCUUUGGUAUUCCGAAGGGCAUGCCUGUUCGAGCGUCAUUGCACCCCUCAAGCACUGCUUGGUAUUGGGCCUCGCCCCCGCGGCGGGCCCGGAUUCCAGUGGCGGUCCAGCGAGACUUCAAGCGUAGCAAGAUUAUCACAUCCCGCUUAGCAAGCCUUCCCGCUGCGUGCCGGCCAGACAACCCUAUACAAUCUCAAUGAUUGACCUCGGAUCAGGUAGGGAUA
rnacentral:sRNA from 1 species